UCUUCUCUUCAUUUCUUCUUAAUUUCCUACUCAUUUCUUCCAAACCCUUUGAUUUCGAAAAUUCCCCAACAUCUCCAUUCAAACCCGAUAGCAAGAAAUCUAAUUGUAUCGACAGAUUUUUCAACCAAUGCAGUAUCAGUAGUGGCAUCAAGAUUUCAACUGCAGUUGUUUUGAUUGGAGUUUGGAGGCGGCGAGCAGCAGAAAUAUCGUUGUCAUGGCUGCAACUAGAGGAGGUGACGCAUGGGAUGGGAGAUGAGGCAGACUUGAGUCCGGAAAAGGCAGGGAGGGAACGUGUAGCGGAGAGAAGUGAAUGUCAUUUAUUUAGGAAGAA
rnacentral:lncRNA from 1 species